rnacentral:rRNA from 1 species
UUGCACAAUGGGCGCAAGCCUGAUGCAGCGACGCCGCGUGAGGGAUGACGGCCUUCGGGUUGUAAACCUCUUUCAGCAGGGAAGAAGCGAGAGUGACGGUACCUGCAGAAGAAGCGCCGGCUAACUACGUGCCAGCAGCCGCGGUAAUACGUAGGGCGCAAGCGUUGUCCGGAAUUAUUGGGCGUAAAGAGCUCGUAGGCGGCUUGUCGCGUCGGUUGUGAAAGCCCGGGGCUUAACCCCGGGUCUGCAGUCGAUACGGGCAGGCUAGAGUUCGGUAGGGGAGAUCGGAAUUCCUGGUGUAGCGGUGAAAUGCGCAGAUAUCAGGAGGAACACCGGUGGCGAAGGCGGAUCUCUGGGCCGAUACUGACGCUGAGGAGCGAAAGCGUGGGGAGCGAACAGGAUUAGAUACCCUGGUAGUCCACGCCGUAAACGGUGGGCACUAGGUGUGGGCAACAUUCCACGUUGUCCGUGCCGCAGCUAACGCAUUAAGUGCCCCGCCUGGGGAGUAAAAAAAAAAAAAAAAAAAAAAAAAAAAAAAAAAAAAA